rnacentral:rRNA from 1 species
UUGACCUCAANUCGGGUGAGACUACCCGCUGAACUUAAGCAUAUCAUAAGCGGAGGAAAGAACUAACAGGAU